GGGCCCGUGGCCUAGCCAGGAUAGGGCGGCGUCAAUACCAGCCGCAGGUCCCGGGUUCAAAUCCCGGCGGGCCCA
rnacentral:tRNA from 1 species